GGUCCUUUCCACUUGGAGACCCCUUACUCUAUCUCCUUCUCUUCUCUUCUGCCUAUUAAACCUCCACUCCUAAACUCUUCGUGUGUGUCCAUGUCCUAAAUUUUCCUGGCAGGCAACAAUGAACCCCAGGGCAUAUAUCUCAGACAACAUAGCUGCUUCAAUACCAUUCACCCCUUUUUCUGUUAGAUAUUCAUCUUUUUAUUUAACAGUUCUUUAUACAUUACAAAUAUCAAUCACUGCCCAUCUUAUAUGUUCCCAAUAUGAAAUCUUGGGCUUUACUGACAAGGACCUGGGUCACAAAUAGGACUCACAAACUGUGCAUGGUGAAAUAACCAACGCUGGGAGAGAACUCUACAGAAACCGGAUCUUACCAAAUGGAGGUCCCUUUGAGGACUCCAUAUUUAUACCAUAAAGGCAACCAAUUAUGUUGCUCAUGGUUGGAAUUUAUUUUAUCUUUUCCUUUACCCAGAAAUGGAAGAGUUCUGGUGCCUGUGCAUUGGUUUGCAUCUGUCUCUGUCCUUAUGUUGAACCCUUCUCUGCAGUCUUUUCUGCGAGAAACAACAGAAGAAAACAAUGUCUCCUGGAGUUGCAUAGUAACCAAACAGUCCCGGCUGAUGGUUUAUGAUCCUGACACAUUAUAUUAACAGAGUUUCCAACACCACAGAGGGACCAAUUUCUCUUAAAACUUUAAGAUAAUCAUCCCAUUAAAUCAUGCCAAUCCGACACAAGGAAUCUGACAAGCAAAGUGUCUACUUAAAUGUUAUACAAAAUAGAUAACUCUCAAUGCUAAAAUAACUACUUCUUUUUGGGUGAAGCCACAGUUUUCUUGUAAAUAAUUUCUUAACAGCCUCUAUCAUUUAUACCGUCAUAUAAAGUAGGUGGAUUGCUUGGAAACGUUGUAAACUCAUUGACUUUGGGGUUUCAUUUUUGUAGUAUUCUUAUUUACACAGGAUCUACCAUUGAGCCUUGAUCAAAUGACUUCAUUUUUGGCCAUAGUUGUCGCAUAUGUAAAAUGUUACCAAAUUGUUGAACUGUCUGAAGGAAGGAAAUCAGAAGAGAAGCUUGCCUGCCUGCCUGCCUUCCCUUCUUCCUUCCUUCCUUCCUUCCUUCCUUCCUUCCUUCCUUCCUUCCUUCCUUCCUUCCUCCUUCCUUCCUUCCUUUCUGUUUUUUGAGACAGAGUCUUCACUCUGUCCCCAGGCUGGAGUGCAGUGGCAUGAUCUGGACUCACUGCAACCCCCGCCUCCUGGAUUCAAGCAAUUCUCCCGUCUCAACCUCCCGAGUAGCUGGGAUUACAGGCGCGUGCCACACCCGACUAAUUUUGUGUUUGUAGUAGAGAAGGGGUUUCAUCAUGUUGGCCAGGCUGGUCUUGAACUCCUGACCUCAAGUGAUCUGCCCGUCCCAGGCCUCCUAAAGUGUUGGGAUUACAGGCGUGAGCCAUUGUGCCCGGCAAGAGAGGCUUUCUUAAUUUCCCUUCUCAACGACCUGUUAAUUAAUCUUCCUCUUCAAACCCUGCUAUUGGUGAAGCCAGUCGGGUUUCUUACUUUGCUCUUUUGCUGAGUCAGGAGCCAGCUGGAAUGGGUCACUGACACUGUCAAGUUCAGAGGUGGUGAGAGACACAGAUUGCAGGUAUCUUUGUAAGUUCCAAUUCGUCCCCCACACCAGGUUCAGCUUGUCUUCACUCUCCCCUGAGUCACUUCGAGUUUGGUUCUACUGAUCUACAGGAAGCUUCUUCCCACCACUGAAUUCAAGGGACAGUCUUCCCAUAUGUCUUUACCAGCUCUCGCAAAUGAAGACAGAGCCUGUCUAUGUCGUUCAGACUGGCCUCAAACUCCAGGGCUCAACAAAGCCUCCUGCCUCAACUUCCCCAGUAGCUGGGACUACAGGUUUUCAGACAGGAAGAAAAUGUUCUUGAGGAAUUGUACCCAUAAACCUCUUCUACAUCUGCAUUUGAUUUGUCUGAAGAGAUCCUAGAUUUCAAGAUCACUGCAUUGGGAUAAAAUUACAGGGAUCUCAGAGGAGUGACCCACUUCCAAGCCAUUUUUCCACCAAGCAGACAAAGUGAACAUACCAUCUUCUCACUGGAAACUUUCCAAAAGUUCUAAAGUUGGAAAUCCAAACUCCUCCUCAUGAUUUAUAAAGAACCGUGGGAUCUGGUCCUGUUAUAUUCCCAAGGUUGCAUCCUGCAUCACUUGCCAUACUUGAGUCGGACUGGCCUUCUUUCUGUCAUGGAACCCACCAAGCCUGCUCUCUUUUCCAAGUCUUUGCACUCACCAUUAUUAUCUCUCCUUGCAAUGAGGCUUCCCCACACAUGCCUAGGACUCUCUCUUUCUUAUCAUUUGGUUUCAUUUCUAAUGCCUCCUCCUGAAGUCUUCAUCUGAAACUAAGUUUAAACAUGCACUCCUCACAUGCAUGGGCACUCAAUUUUCAAUUGUCCUAUUUUUUUUUUCUUCAUGAACCUAUCACUAUCUGAAACAGCUUGUUUAUUUAAUUAGUAGACCAUUUAUGUUGAUUAUUGUAAAUCUGCUGUGACUAGAUUGCAAACUCAACGAAGGUAGGAAUUUUGGCUCCAUCAUUUUUACAACCCCAGCACCUAGAUCAGUGUCGGCUAUGUAAUGGUCACUUGGUAGAAAUUUCUAGAAUCAUUUUAUGGUGAGGAUAUUAUUUCCAAUAUACAAAUUGAAGAAAAUACAAUCAGAAAGAUUGAUAAACUUGUCUGUAGACUUUAAAAAAUCUACAUUAAAAAUUGAAAAUAAAAUUAUAAGAUAAACAAUAAAGAAAAGUAUUUGCAAAAUGUCUUAUAAAAGGACGUUAAAAUAAUAAAAUUUCAUUUUUAUUUAGGUAGAAAUCAGGCGUAUGACUGUAUGCUGUAUGUGUAGAGGGGAUAUAAAUAUACUUCUAGAAGGAAUGGGAAAGCCUUAAAAGUAUUCAUGCACUUUGACCCUACAAUUCUACUUAUAUGAAUUUUCCCUUGAGAAAUUAAUCAGAUGUAAAUGAAGAUUUAUAGACAGCAAAGUUUACUGAAAAAGCUUUUAUAAAUUAACAAUAGUUAAUUUGACAAUAAAGUGCUUGUUAUUU